rnacentral:sRNA from 1 species
CACACGCGAAGCUUGGGGUGUUCCGGGAGAAAUCCGGUUCAUUCCGCCCGGUGGUACCGGUCAAACGGUGCUGUUCGCUUCGCGGGGGUUCAACCGGAAAAGGAGUAAUAA